rnacentral:rRNA from 1 species
GUCUAUGGCCAUACCACCCUGAAAGCGCCCAAUCUCGUCUGAUCUCAGAAGCUAAGCAGGGUCAGGCCUGGUUAGUAGUUGGGUGGGAGACCACCUGGGACUAUCGGGUGCUGUAGGCU